rnacentral:sRNA from 1 species
AAUUUUCUUUAAUUUAUAAUUUUUUUUAUCAUUUACUUUAUUUAAAUUUUUGUUACACUUUGCGCCGUUCUCUGAUAGCCGCAUCCUCCCAGGCACUAUUCCCGAGAUAUCUUGAUUUGCGCCGUUCUCUGAUGUCAGUGGUGCUAUGGAUCGCCGCGUUGGAUAUUCUACUAUCGUUUUUGUUGUAUCUCUUCUCUUUAUGCGUGCUCAAUUCUUGUUCAAAGUCAAACCACAUGAGUUGAUCCAAAACUUGCUCAUAUCUGAUAAUGUAGACUCGCUGGAGUUGAUUCCGACUCCCCCUUGUUUUCCUUGUGGCAACUCUCUUCAUGGUGCCUAAGCAAAGAUCCAGUCUUCAACUCUGUAUCUUUCCUCCUUUCAACUGGUUACCCCUCAAAUUCUACUCAUGUUACAUCCCAUUCUUAGUUCUUGACUUCCCCGAUAAAGCUUCCUCCUCGUUUGGUGGUGAUGUUGUUCCCCUACCAUUUUUUUUAAAGGUUCCAGCGAUAUUUAGUCUCCUCUUUGCUACUUAUUUUUGCGACGGUGAUACCUCAUGUAGUAUUGGUGCCUAGCUUUGGGCCUUGCAACGUUUGGGCCAAUUGUUGGCUUCUUGGCUAUUGGGUUUUUUUUUAGUGGAAAAGGUCAUCUCUCCCCAUUCUAUUUGUCUUAGCCCUUUAAGAAAUUGUCUUUCCCUCUUUUGUCCUCAACUCGCUAUCCUCUGAUUCUCCAAUUGUCGAUUCACCGGAUACUUCUCAGAUUUCUUUCAUCGACACAUCUGAUAUUUCUCUACUUCCCCUGUCCACGUCUAUGGCAGGUCAUGUCUAGUCUCGAACCAUCAUUGUUAGAUCGAUUCCCUCCUAUUUGUGGCAAAGAUUAUGCACUAGAUACUUUUCUGUCUGCUGUUAAGGCGAAAGCUUGUUGCUUCCAGACUCAAACCACCUAUGAUGGUUUGUCUUAACGCCAUAAGAGAUGGUGACUACAUCAUACAUGAUUUUUACUGAUUUUUAGUUUCAAUUUUUGAUUCAAAGAUUAUACAUGAGAUUAAAGAUUUUGUCCUUCGCAAAAA